UGGGGAAUAUUGGACAAUGGGGGCAACCCUGAUCCAGCCAUGCCGCGUGUGUGAAGAAGGCCUUUUGGUUGUAAAGCACUUUAAGCAGUGAAGAAGACUCCGUGGUUAAUACCCACGGACGAUGACAUUAGCUGCAGAAUAAGCACCGGCUAACUCUGUGCCAGCAGCCGCGGUAAUACAGAGGGUGCAAGCGUUAAUCGGAAUUACUGGGCGUAAAGCGAGCGUAGGUGGCUUGAUAAGUCAGAUGUGAAAUCCCCGGGCUUAACCUGGGAACUGCAUCUGAUACUGUUAGGCUAGAGUAGGUGAGAGGAAGGUAGAAUUCCAGGUGUAGCGGUGAAAUGCGUAGAGAUCUGGAGGAAUACCGAUGGCGAAGGCAGCCUUCUGGCAUCAUACUGACACUGAGGCUCGAAAGCGUGGGUAGCAAACA
rnacentral:rRNA from 1 species